rnacentral:lncRNA from 1 species
AAUUAUUCACAGUAAAAAUGCAGGGAAGCCUGGCUCCAUAUCUACUUUUUACACCACUUUCCAUAGUUAACUGUUGAGAAGAUUGGCGUGAACCCUGUUACGCUGACUGAUUUCAUUUACAAACGUGGACGGACAGGAGUAUGUUUCCAUGGACACACAUAAAUAGGUCAUAUUUUAUUAUAAAACCUGUUCAGUUGUUUGUCUUAUGACAAAUUCAUCCUUACAUAAGUGUGUGUAUGUAUGUAGGUCAUUUUCCCCAUUGGUUGCAAGAUAGUUCAUGAAAUUUCAUAGUCUAAAUCCUUGGUAGGUUGUUCUUCAAAACUUUUCCAAUCUGAGAAAAAAAACUAUCAUUUUAUUUUCACCUUGUAGAAGUUUCUCUAAGUCAAUAUAUUCUCGUGUUUUGUUCUUUUCCUAAUUUUUCAUUGGAAGGAGUCCAGUCACUAUUUUAACAAGUGAAGUUUUUCUUAGCAUAUUUUUUUUAGGACGGCGAACAGUGGAAACUAGAAACUAUGCGGCCUCUGUCCUGAAGCCUAGGGGCCCUUAGCUGUCGCAUCAGGUUCCAGCAGAGCACCUAGCUUACUACCGUGGCCAACAGGAACAGCGCCACGUUCUGCUCGCUGAAUCGCUGAGCAGCGUGCCGCCGCUAGUCACGUGAACGGCAGAGAGGACGGUGGCCCGCAAGGGACGAACCUUAUGCUUCUGCAUGGCGUCGCGGGGUGUGGCCAGGUGCGGCCUUCCUCUGCCUCCUGGCCUCUGUCUUUUUAGCUUCUGUGGGAUGCUUCCGUUUGGGGAAUUUUCAUCAGUGGUUUGCUCCAGGGAGUCGGAGACCACCCAUAGUGCUCAACUACUCCGCUACAGAUUCCCUCUGGGGAGGUGGAGGUUGGGGGUGGGGGGGAUUCUUGUGUUUUGAUUUUAGAAUUUCAGAAUAUAGAGAAAUUAGCUUUUACUCAAAGUGGUUAUAGAACUAUUGUCUUGUAGAAGUAGUUUAUAAGCUUAUUCAUAAUAUUGUUCUUAUUUUUCUUUUAUUUCAUUGCUCUGAAU